AAGUCUUGACAUCCUGUUGACCGCUCUGUAAUGAGAGCUCCCCUUCGGGGCAACAGUGACAGGUGGUGCAUGGUUGUCGUCAGCUCGUGUCGUGAGAUGUUGGGUUAAGUCCCGCAACGAGCGCAACCCUUAUCUUUAGUAACCAGCACAUAAUGGUGGGGACUCUAGAGAGACUGCCGGGGAUAACUCGGAGGAAGGUGGGGAUGACGUCAAAUCAUCAUGCCCCUUAUGACUUGGGCUACACACGUGCUACAAUGGCUGUGACAAAGGGACGCAAGAGGGUGACCUUAAGCAAAUCUCAAAAAAGCAGCCCCAGUUCGGAUUGUAGUCUGCAACUCGACUACAUGAAG
rnacentral:rRNA from 1 species